AGAAGACCUAAAAAGAAAAGGAAGAAAGAGAAGACAAGGCAGUAUCACAUCAUGAUCAUCAGAUCUGAAGACGUUUCCCCACCACAACUCGAACAGCUCGCGGGAUGCAGCGAAGACUCCCCUCCCACCACGACCCCAUUCCCACCAUGGGGAGACUCUUCUCUGUCUGAGGUUGAAAAAAUUAAAAUUCCGAUCCCCAUCAA